UACGUAGGGCGCAAGCGUUAUCCGGAAUUAUUGGGCGUAAAGAGCUCGUAGGCGGUUUGUCGCGUCUGCCGUGAAAGUCCGGGGCUCAACUCCGGAUCUGCGGUGGGUACGGGCAGACUAGAGUGAUGUAGGGGAGACUGGAAUUCCUGGUGUAGCGGUGAAAUGCGCAGAUAUCAGGAGGAACACCGAUGGCGAAGGCAGGUCUCUGGGCAGUAACUGACGCUGAGGAGCGAAAGCGUGGGGAGCAAACAGG
rnacentral:rRNA from 1 species